ensembl:rRNA predicted gene, 27266
GAAUAUAUAUUAUCCUCCACAGCCUGUGGCCAUGCCCCAAGUACUCUGGUCCCAGAAGUUAAACAGGGUCCAGCCUAGUUAGCACUUGGUUGGGAGACUAUAUGGUAAGCUAUGGUAUAGUCC